rnacentral:rRNA from 1 species
UACGUAGGGUGCAAGCGUUGUCCGGAAUUAUUGGGCGUAAAGAGCUCGUAGGCGGUUUGUCGCGUCUGCUGUGAAAACUCGGGGCUUAACCCCGGGCCUGCAGUGGGUACGGGCAGACUAGAGUGCGGUAGGGGAGACUGGAAUUCCUGGUGUAGCGGUGAAAUGCGCAGAUAUCAGGAAGAACACCAAUUGCGAAGGCAGCUCGCUGGGACGUUACUGACGCUGAGACGCGAAAGCGUGGGGAGCAAACAGG